GGUUCAGAUGAACGCUGGCGGCAGGCCUAACACAUGCAAGUCGAACGGUAACAGGAAGCAGCUUGCUGCUUGCUGACGAGUGGCGGACGGGUGAGUAAUGUCUGGGAAACUGCCUGAUGGAGGGGGGAUAACUACUGGAAACGGUAGCUAAUACCGCAUAACGUCGCAAGACCAAAGAGGGGGACCUUCGGGCCUCUUGCCAUCAGAUGUGCCCAGAUGGGAUUAGCUUGUUGGUGGGGUAACGGCUCACCAAGGCGACGAUCCCUAGCUGGUCUGAGAGGAUGACCAGCCACACUGGACUGAGACACGGUCCAGACUCCUACGGGAGGCAGCAGUGGGGAAUAUUGCACAAUGGGCGCAAGCCUGAUGCAGCCAUGCCGCGUGUAUGAAGAAGGCCUUCGGGUUGUAAAGUACUUUCAGCGGGGAGGAAGGUGUUGUGGUUAAUAACCACAGCAAUUGACGUUACCCGCAGAAGAAGCACCGGCUAACUCCGUGCCAGCCGCCGC
rnacentral:rRNA from 1 species